CUGGUUGCGGGAAGAUGGUCACGCUCUACCGGAGACGCUGAGGAGCGAGCUCCCGGGGCUUCUUCACGUGGCCGAACCUGUCACUGGUGAAGUAGUUUAGUGUAGUUGUACGGAAGCUGACACCCACACAAAAAGGUACUGAAUAUGUGACAGCUCUGUAUCCAUCUGUCUUCAUUUUGGCAUGUGGUCAGAGAUUUUGAUGCUCCUGAAUGUGGGAUUUGGACUGGGGAUGGCUGGUCAUGAGAAAUAAAGAGUUUUUGGUUCCCGAUUCCAAUCUUAACAAAGAAUUCUGCUCCUCCAGGAAAUCUUCCAGGAUUUUCCAGGAUGGAUUAACUUUCCUUCCUAUGUACUCCAUAACUUCUUCUGCAAGUCUCUAUUCUUGGACUCACCACAUUUGGUUGAAAUGGUUUCUUUCUAUAACUGCCUCCUCACCAGACCAGAACUACUUGAAGGAAGAAAUCAUGUUUUACUUAGUUUUUUAUCUUCAGCACAACACUUGCUAAGUAAAUGUUUGAUGAAUGAAUGAGUUGUAUAGUGGGAAGAAUUCAUGCUUUGGAGUCAGACAGAUGUGUUCAAAUCCAGUACUUACUAUCUGCAUCUGUAGAGAAGUAGCUUAGUUUCUUUCACACUGUUUCUUUAUGUAUAAACAGGGAUUAUACCACCCCCUCCUUUUUUUUAGAUUAGUGAUAGUAUGUAGAGUCUACUGCAGUGCCUGAAAUAAUGUUGUUAUUAGUAUUAUCUUGAAAAUGUAUAAUAAUUUUAUCUCAGAGUUAGUAGGAAGAUACAUUUUUUCCCCCUGAAGAAUCAUCUUAACUCUAAAGAAUAUAUACUCUAUUGCUUGUGUUUUUCUAAAGCUCAUCUCUUGUUUAAUUUCCCAUGAAGUAUCCAUGGCCUCUUGAAUACCUGCAUUGUCCGUAACACUCAGUGGAUACUUAGCUUUUUUUACCAUUUUUUUACCAAUUUUACCAACCUCUGUAUGUUUGUUUUGUCUGUGCAAAUAGAUUGUAAGCCUUUUGAGGACAAUAAUCAUAUCUUACAUAUCAUUUAGUUGUCUUCCUAUCUUCCCUGUCCAUUGCUCUUACCCCGUCUUCCUAACAGAGAUCUCUAUAUAAAUAACAGGUCAAUAAAUGUUGAUCUAUGAUGAUAGAGGACCAAGAGCAGGCAGCAGCAACUGGAAUGUUUUGUCUCUGGGAAGGUGCAUCUCAUUUGAAGUAGAAUCUCGGCCAACAGUUAAUGCAAAGAUUGCACUGGAUGUGAAGGGGGGAACAUUAAAAGAAGUAUAAGAUAUGGUCCCUUCUCUGCAGGAACUGACAAUCUAUUUGGCAAGAUAAAGCAUGCCCAAACUGAAAUGUUAAGGAGUAACACUGGACAGAAUGUGAUUAGGUCUACACAGUGUUCAGAGGAAGAAAAAUUAGUAAUUCAUGCAGGUGAGGCUGAAGUCAAGAGAUUGUUGGGAGACUCAAAGGCAAAAAAGGCAAAACCUCAUGGAUAUUUGAAUACCUGUGAUGUGCCAGACAUUGUGAUGAAUCUGUGUUGUGCGUGUGUGUGUUUGUAUGUGUGUGUGUGCCUGCACAUGUGAUAGGAACUUUAUAUUCAUUCAUUCAUUCAUUCAGUAAACAUUUUUUUAAAUUGUGGUAAACAACACAGAACAUAAAAUUUACCAUUGUAUCUGUUUAAGUGUACAGUUCAGUAGUGUUAAAUGUAUUCACAUUGCUGUGCAACAGAUUUCCAGAACUUGUUACAUCUUGCAGAACUGAAACUCUAUACCAACUAAACAACAACUCCCCAUUUCUUCCCUCUCCUUGAACUUGUGUGGUUUUUUCUAAUUCCUACAACAAAAUGUGAGAUAAUGUUAGGGAUUCCAUUCCACAAGGAAUUAAGUGAGGCUUAGAGGUUUAAGAAAAUUUCCCGAGGUCUUAGAGUUAAUAAAGGUAGAACCUCAUGAGCCAUGGUCUGGAAGGGAAUGAACUAUUAGGAACCCACAAUUUUAGGCAAGAUUGUGGAAGAGCUAUAUUUUGAUUUUUUGUAAGAGUUGGUUUUUAUGGGCCAUUCAGGGCCACGGUGGCUCUUGCCUCUAAAAUGUGCCAUAACGCAUCUGAUACUGCUCUGCUUUCAGUAAUUCUACCUAGGCCUUAGGUGUCUGAUGUCUGGAAUGUUGCUGAGGAAAAUGGCUGCUGGAUAGAGAACAUCAGGAAAAUGAUAGUGAGUUCCUAUGUCUGCUUUUUGGGCAUGUGAUCCUCCUGGCCACAAGGUAUUGAAGACAAUUCUUUGGGGUGAAAGGUGUUGGAUCAAGUAUGAAACAUUGCUAGAACUGUUUGCGAAGUGGAAGGAAGGAACUUGAAUGUGUCUUAAUGGAAAGCCAGCCUAUUGGAUUGAUGGUGGCAAGGGCAAGGAAGUGUGUAGGUGAUAUUUUUUGCCAGAUUUUCAGGAUGACAGGGAGGAAUGGAAGUGAAAAUACAACAGCCAAAAUAUGGUCCCCAACUUAGAAGAUUUCCCUGUUGAUUGAGGCCUUAUAAAUAGACUUUUCCUGCUGAGAUAUAUUCUGGCAAUAGAUUAGGCCACACAUGGGGUUCUACAAUGUAGUUGUUUAAGGAAGGCACCAGAGGUGGCAGAUGUACUUGGAAGGAUGAAUCAGGAGUGGAAACCAUUAAUUGUGAAAAAAUACAUUUUAUUUUUCAGGCACUAUGUGAAGUACUUUAUAUAUAUUUUGUCUAAUUCUCAAAACAUCUUGUGGUAGGCAUUAUUGUCCUUAUUUGACAAACUGUGUCUCCAAAAGGUAAAUAAUUUGCGCUAGAUUGCUGGGAUGCUUAUUUAAACUAUCAUCUCUCAGUUUCAAAGCCACUCUUCUAUACUUUGCUUUUUGAUACUGGGGCUGGGCGUCUGCAAAUCACAUUUCUGCUUUGUCAAUUGGUUUAACUCUGUCAUUGGAGGUGCUAGAGGGAGACUGCAAGCAGGAGGAAGUAGAUGGAACAUGCUUCUUCCUCUUUGCUCUUAUUUUCUGUUUUUCUUCCUAUUUGUUUUCUAUUGGCUUUUUUUCCCCCCGUGAGUGUCACCCCAGCAGUGCUUCUUUACCUCUGUAGCAGCAGUUUGUUCCAAUAGCAGCAGUUGAGUCCAAUUUGCAGUUUUUUCCCAACACCCAUAGAGCCAACCCUUAAAGACCCCAGUAGCAGCUGGAUAGCUCCCCAUUUUCAGAGUUCUGGGACAUCUCCUCCCCAGGUCUGGGAUGCCUCCUACUUCUGAGCUCAGGGACCUAGCACCAUCUGAGUAUCUCCUCUUCUCAGAAAUCUGAGUUUCAACCCCAUGGGGUCUGUCCUCCAGUCUUCUAACAGUUAAUAAUUCCCAGUUCUUCCUUUAUUUCUCCAAACUCAGUGAUGGCAGUUGCAUCUUGCAGUUACUAUCUCUGUGAUAACUUAGAGUUCUCUUUUUGUCUUUUCAAUAGCUAAUUAACAACUUUUACUGAAUUAACAAUUCUUUUUUGUACAGUAUAGUGAUUCACGAUUUUUAAAGGUUAUAUUCCAUUUAUAGUUCUUAUAAAAUAUUGUCUAUAUUCCCCAUGUUGUACAAUAUAUCUUGGUAGCUUAUUUUAUACAUAAAUAGUUUGUACCUCUUAAUCCGCUACCCCUUUAUUGCCUCUCCCCGCUUCCCUCUUCUCACUGGUAACCACUAGUUUGUUCUCCACAUCUGUGAGUCUGAUUCUUUUUUGUUAUAUUCACUAGCUUGUUGAAAGACAAACACUAUAUGAUAUCAGUUAUAUGUGGAAUCUAAAAAAUACAACAAACUAGUGAAUAUAACAAUUCUUUAUAUUACUUUCUGUUUAAAUAAAUGAUGUGAUUUCAGUCUCUUGGUUGGAUCAUGAAACAAGUAUAUAACUACUCAUCAUCAUCAUCACCUUGUCCUCCAUUUAUUAUUUAAUAUAUGUUUAUAAGGUCAUAGAACUACAUUUCUUUUCUUGCUACUGAUCUGGCUGCCUGUGGGCUGGAGCAGAAUUUUUCAUGGGCACAGGCAGUUCAAUCUUGCUAACACUGGUAGUGUCCAACAGCCCUGUCUUGAUGAAGUUUUUUAACCUAAAUAUUCACCACUACUCAAGCCCCGAAGCAAUUCCAUCAAAGCUCUUUACAAGGGCAGGGAUGAUGCUUGUUUUUCCCUGUUGAAUCCAUAGGGCCAGGAACAGUGUCUAGCAAUGUUUUGUAGGUGUUUAGUAUGAAUUUGUGAACAAAGGAUUGGAUAAAUGAAUGAAUGAAUGAAUGAGCAAGGCUCAGCUAGAACUUUGUCUUUUCUAGUGGAUAGAUUCUAGAAAUUGACUUCCUGGAUUUCUGACUUUAUACCUGAUUUACACUUCUGUUUCCGUCUGGAACCCAGGAUGUUUGACUGAGGCAUGACUGCCAUUCUAGAAUUUGUCCAUCUCACACUUCUUCCUUUCACUAUUUACACCUUUGCGCUAGUGGCUGGGGAUUUACUUCCAACCAGGUGGACCUUCCUUGAAUCAUGGUAUUGCUAUGGUCUCUGCCUGCUGCUGGGCUCCACUCGAAAUGUCUCUGUGGAAGUAACCUCACCCUGAGCACUGGGGCAGUCCUCUUUGUCAUUAGGAUUUGCGUAGUAGCCAACCUCUCAUGCUGUAUACUUCCAGCUGCGUGAGCUCUAUCUGCCCCUGUCCCAACCCCAGCCUCUUGCCCACCCUUACCCCCCCUGGGAUCCUGGCCCAUGCUCUUCUCACUGCGUACCUUUGGAGAUUCUACAUGUCAUGUGGUUAAGCCUCUACAGUUUAGGAUGUUUAUAUUUCAGAUAUUUUUUUCACUGGUGCUUAUUAUAUGCAGCACAAGCCAAUUAAACACUUUCUCCUUAACCUCACCUCAGAGGUGAAAUAAAAUUCACUUUUGUGUUUAAAUGUU